AUUGAACGCUGGCGGCAUGCCUUACACAUGCAAGUCGAGCGGCAGCACGGGAGCAAUCCUGGUGGCGAGUGGCGAACGGGUGAGUAAUACAUCGGAACGUGCCCAGUAGUGGGGGAUAGCCCGGCGAAAGCCGGAUUAAUACCGCAUACGACCUGAGGGUGAAAGCGGGGGAUCGCAAGACCUCGCGCUAUUGGAGCGGCCGAUGGCGGAUUAGCUAGUUGGUGGGGUAAAGGCUCACCAAGGCAACGAUCCGUAGCUGGUCUGAGAGGACGACCAGCCACACUGGGACUGAGACACGGCCCAGACUCCUACGGGAGGCAGCAGUGGGGAAUUUUGGACAAUGGGCGCAAGCCUGAUCCAGCCAUGCCGCGUGCGGGAAGAAGGCCUUCGGGUUGUAAACCGCUUUUGUCAGGGAAGAAACGCUCUGGGCUAAUACCCCGGGGUAAUGACGGUACCUGAAGAAUAAGCACCGGCUAACUACGUGCCAGCAGCCGCCGCAGUAA
rnacentral:rRNA from 1 species